rnacentral:rRNA from 1 species
UACGGAGGGGGCUAGCGUUGUUCGGAAUUACUGGGCGUAAAGCGCACGUAGGCGGCUUUGUAAGUUAGAGGUGAAAGCCCGGGGCUCAACUCCGGAAUUGCCUUUAAGACUGCAUCGCUAGAAUUGUGGAGAGGUAAGUGGAAUUCCGAGUGUAGAGGUGAAAUUCGUAGAUAUUCGGAAGAACACCGGUGGCGAAGGCGGCAUCCUGGACCGGCAUUGACGCUGAGGAGCGAAAGCCAGGGGAGCAAACGGG